rnacentral:lncRNA from 1 species
AUUUGAUGUGAUUGUGAUUUAUAUCUGCUAGAAGUAGAACACGGUUUUCCAAAACAAUAAUUGUUUUCUAACAUUACGUUUCUGCAACUCAACUUUUAAAAUAUCACGUUUUCGUAAGUCAUUUGUUUUAAAUUAAGCUUCCGCAACAAUAAGGUUUUGAAGGUUAUAACUUUUCUUUAAUAAACCUGUAAUAGACCCAAUUUGCUUGAGCCCAAAAGCACAAACACAAAAAACCAAAAAUAAAACAAAAAAACCAAUAGCAGUCAUUUUUUUAAUGUUACAAAGCCUAAAUCUAACACCACCUAAUUACCACACCCAAAAUACAUUACCCAAGCCCAACAACACCUAGCGCAACUAUCAUAUGGCCCGAUACCAAAGAGAAUCAGAAACCCUAGGGCAGCAACAC